rnacentral:rRNA from 1 species
AUUCCAGCUCCAAUGGCGAAUAUUAAAGAUGUUGCGGCCAACAAGCUCGUAGUCGGAUUUCUGCCGAGGACGACCGGUCCGCCUUGCGGGUGAGUAUCUGGGACGACCUGGGCAUAUGAUUGGAGAACGUGUCUGCACUUGACUGUGUGGUGCGGUAUCCAGGAGUUUUAUUGUGAGGGAAUUAGAGUGUUUCAAGCAGGCCCACGCCUUGAAUACAUUAGCAUGGAAUAAUGAUAUAGGACAUCGGUUCUACGUUGUUGGUUUCUAGAGUUGAGGUCAUGAUGAAUAGGGAUAGUUUGGCGGAUUCGUAUUUAACGGUCAGAGGUGAAAUUCUUGGAUUUGUUACAGACGGACUACUGCGAAAUCGUUUGCCAAUGAUGUUUUCAUUA